CUGUAGCCACCUUUGUGCAUUAGAGGAAAUCCACAGAAAGAGUAAGACCCUGUGAGCCUAGCCCUGAGGGAAGGGCAUACCCACAGAGAGAAGGAUGGAGAAGAAAGCCUAUGGGAAGCAAGUAGGAAGCAGCCUGGGGGAGAGCAGCAAGGCUGGGGACUGAGCAGACCUUGACUGUGUGUUAGGGUCACUGGGCUGGAAUCUGGAGUGGUGGGUAGGCCUGGGUUCUCCUACUAGCCCCCGGUGGAGUGGUAUUGUCUGGACAACAGGUACAGUGAGACGCUAUACUCCAGAAGGGGAAGUCACACAGUGACCUGGCCAUAGCUCCUGGAGCGAGAGUGGGACUUCAGAGUGAGAGAGAAGACAACGGGGAAGAGUCUGCAAGUGAAGGUGUCGGACCUGAAAGAGAGAAUUCCCAGAACAGCCAGGAAGAGGUGCUACUGGUGGGUGCUGCCUCUUCUCUAGGUCACUGGGAAAUCUCUUCCCAGGGUGUUGUCUUUUGGAAAACCAGUCUGGCUGAGGAGCGCUUGGUUCUGUCCAAGGAAAUGACCAGCGUUAAUGAACUUUCGUGAUUAUCAUUAUUCAUCUGGAAGCUGAACUCCCCAGCUCCUGGAUUCAUGUGACUACCUGAGAAUCUCCCCUUUCAUUUAAAAAAAGAAAAGCUUCCGAUCAGGGCCAGCUUCUGCUGCUGUGGCUGCUGGGAGCAGAGGAUUUGUGAGAUGUUGCCAGAGGCAGCCUGGGCACUCCAUGGAAAUUUGACCCCUUGCUGUCCGACAGGGGGAGUGUGAGUGGAUGUCAUCCAAAUGGCUUCUAUCUCCAUUCUCGUUUGCCUCUGGAAUGGGCUGCCCCAGACUGACACAGACACUGGAGAGAGUUAGGGAGAGCAGCAGCAGCCGGAUGGAUGUCAUUGUGGGAGAGGAGUUCCUGCAGCUUUCAUGGGAAAGUAAAGGACAGGGGAGAGCAAUGGAACAAAACCAACAACAAUUACAGCGUACCCAGUAACUCAGGAAGAAGCCUGGUAGUUGCUGACAGAAACCAGCCGCCAGAUCUGCAUGGAUGCUGCUGUCCCUUUCCUGCAUCUGCCACUAGCAUUUAACUGUUCUCCAGGGUGCUAUCCUGAAACCAGGAUCAGAAGGUGUACUGGACAUUAUUACAAUGCACCGGAUUUAAGUCCAUAUCAGACAUGUGCAGAGGUCACCUGGUCCUGAUCUGGCCCUACAAAAUUGUAUUUGUUGCUACUCCAACUAAUUUGUGAAUGGAAUCCAUGUGGAGCAUCGUCUGAGGUGUAUAUUUGGGAUCGGGAAUCCCUGGUGUGUGAGCUGGCCCUUGACUUAGUAGCACAAUUGUACCAGUUCCACUGUCUUUUGGGCCUUGGAUCUGGGAGAGAAAAGGCAGCAUUUGGCAUGUGAAUCCCUAAUGGAAAAAUCCUAUAGAACCAAAUAUGGAUGAAGCCAAUAGCUUUCUAUAGAAAUUACCAUAAUGCCCAUUGAAUUGAAUUUAAAAGAGAACUUUUCUGUAGCUUUUUUGCAGAAUUUUCUAUUAAACUCUAAAUGAUGGAUCAAAAAACCUACAGAGAGGUUAUAACUAUCUGUUAAAUUCUCUAGGGGUAAAAUCCUGGCUCCACUGAAUUGGUUUCAAUGGAGCCAGAAUUUCAUCCAAGGACUCUUCUAUGAGGGAUUGCAGUCACCGGUUGACUUUUGGCUUGCUAUCUAAAGUUAUCUUCAGGAAUGAAUGAGAUACAACAUAUGCAGUCAUGUCUGAUCUUAGUUACAGGAGUGAAAAUCUGAGCGUCAAAUCCUAUUUCAUUGACACAAGUGUAAAUCUGGAGUAACUUCACUCCAUGGAGUGUCUCUGGAUUUAGACUAUUGUUUAAAUAAAUUCUUUACAAAAAACUA